GUUAAGGAAUUUUUUUGUGGAAGAUGAAGAAGGUUAAUGUAAGUCAUAUCAGUAAUAUUUACCAAGCUGUAGAAAUUAAGACAAUGAGGUUGACCAAGAGAGUAACCUAACUGAGUCCAUGAACAGGCUCCAUCUGGACAGGUAACAAAGGUGGCUUGUGACCCACAGCAGAGAGAACAGACUCUAUCUGUGGAUCUUAGAUAGUUGACCAUCAAGAUGUAGGAGCACUGAGUUAGAUAGCUCCCUCAAGUCAUUCACAGAAGUACCUUCAAAGUACAGUGAGAAAGUGAGAAACAAAAUGUUAAAACACUUUAGAAAAAAAAAACAGAAAAACAUAUGAAGGCAUCUGCAUGACCUCUGGGUGGGGAAGCGGUUCUUAAAAUAAGAUCCAAAGACCAGACAUAAAGAAAGAAAAAAUCAAUACAGAAAACCACAUUAAGGUUGAGGACUUCCGUUUAAUGAUAUAUGUCUUAAAAGCAAGCCAUGGCCCAUGGGAAUUUUCAGGGCAUACAAACAACAAAAGAGGGUAUGCAGAAUGUAUUCCAGAACUCCUACCAUCCCAAAGCAGUGGGGAAAGUGCAAAAGUGACCAGAGUCUCACUGGCAAAUGAGCAUAAGAAAUCAUGCAAUCUCCCUAAUGUCAUGGAAAUCCAAUUAAAACAAGGAGGCACCAUUUCAUGUCAAUAUAAUGAAAAGUCUGACAAUGUCAAUGCUUAUUAAAUAUUGGCAAGAAGGACUUCAGAGGCCUAAAUAUAUUCUGACACAUGGGAAGGCAUUUCAGCUACUCUUGCAAGGUCUAAAAUGUACAUUCCAUGCUGUCUAGUUGGCAAGGUUGGAGAAGGGACAUGUAGUGUACUGCCAGGUAUAUGAAAGCCAAAAUAUCACAUCCAUAUAAUUUAUGGGAACAUACACAGUAAAAUAGCACCAAAAUGAUAAACACUAAAUUAAGGGAUUUUAUCUCUCAGGAGGGUGGGGAGAGGAUCACUAAGAGAAAAAAAAAACAGGGCCACCAACUUUGUCUGUGAUUCUGUUUUUCUAUUAAAAUAAAAAAUGAGAUAUGAAGCAAAUACUGAAAAAUAUUAAGAUCAAACAGAGCUGGUUUGGUGGGUG
rnacentral:lncRNA from 1 species